AAAAAAAAAAAAAAAGGGGUAGCCAUUGAUGAACAUGCGGAUCAGUUUGGCAAUUAAAAUAGCUGGUAUGAGGUUAUGUUGGGCAUUUGAGUUGAAUUACAUAAGCAAGCUAUUGAGAAUUCACCGCUUUUGUUUUGUCAUUGAAACAUUAUUUUUGUUAUUGAACUCUGGGUACUAGCUAAUAUUUGUUGUCUUUCCUACACUGAAUUACUAUUUAAUCAUACCUUGUGAAUUUGAGUUGUUGUCUACCAUAUUAUUCAAUGAAACUAUUGCUUUAGAAUGUUGAGAAAUACCGGCCUAGAAGUGUGGAUUAAUAAACAGGCAGGCAGGUCUCCAUGCUGAAUUGGGCUCCCUGUCACCAAAGUGGCCUAAGCUGUUUUGGUUUGGUUUGCUAAGACCUAUAUUAAUUUUCUUGUAAACUGUCGAUGUGGGACUUGUUUCCGCAAGCCAUAUUCCAUAUCCCCUCUAGUGCAACUGAGUUCAGCUCUGACUUUACAGGCCCAGUUGUCAUCUGGCAUUGUAUGGGGUGACAUUUAACUGGGGUUUGGCUCCUCUUGGCUCUACCCUCAAAGGUCUAAGUCACUGGGCUAGCCCAUGAAUCCACAUGAGUGUGGCUCAAUUAGCUCCACUUAUGGCUGUGGCUCAUUGCUGCUUAGUCCACCAUGCUUUCAAGUCUUGGAUCUAUUGCUAUUAGGCCUCACUGCUCUAAUACCAUGUUGAGAAUCACGGGCCAAAGAGUAUGAAUCGAUAAACAUACAGGCCUCUAUGAUGAAUUGGGCUUGAAAUUGAGCUCUCCAUCACCAAUACGGCUUUGGUUUGCCAACAAUUAUAUGCCUUUUAAUUUUUCUUGUACAGUGCAAAUGUGGGAAUUGUUCCCACAAGCCAUAUUCUAACAGAAUCCAACAAACUGUUAUUUGUUCACUGUAACUUUUAUAUUAGCAGAAUUAUAUUAUAUGAUAUGGUAAUAUUGAUGUGAACAUUGAGGAGGCAUAUUGAUGUGAACCAUCAGUUAUAGAUUUAGAACUCACAUAUGCUAAUAUCUCUGUAGCUUUUUAUGCGUUACAAGCAGUUUAUUCUGUAACCUAGCUGGAAUGUUGCUACCUUCUUGCUGAACCAUAAGAUAGGUUUCUGACUUUUCGGUUUCUGACUUUCCCUUUUCUGCAUUUCUGAAUGGAAAUUAGGGGGCCUAAUUAAACAGUAUGGGUUUAUUUAACCAAGUGGAGUCUUGCAAAUUACGCUAGUGAUGUCUUGCUUGCUUUUGUGACAAAAUGGAAGAAUGGAAUAAAGCAUUCAGUCUAUCAGUUUGAGGCAUCUGUUUUUCAAAGUGAUUUUGAAAUAGCCAACUACCAUCAUUGUAAUAAUUGAAUUUUGUACAUGUGUAAUCUAAUCUUAUCAGGGAUGUCUGUUUAAGCUCAUGAAAUCAGAAUCAAUUAGCAUUCUGCAAAUUACACCAA
rnacentral:misc_RNA from 1 species